rnacentral:rRNA from 1 species
UACGAAGGGGGCUAGCGUUGCUCGGAAUCACUGGGCGUAAAGGGUGCGUAGGCGGGUCUUUUAAGUCAGGGGUGAAAUCCUGGAGCUCAACUCCAGAACUGCCUUUGAUACUGAAGAUCUUGAGUUCGGGAGAGGUGAGUGGAACUGCGAGUGUAGAGGUGAAAUUCGUAGAUAUUCGCAAGAACACCAGUGGCGAAGGGCGGCUCACUGGCCCGAUACUGACGCUGAGGCACGAAAGCGUGGGGAGCAAACAGGG